GUCUUCGUGGCUCAGUCGGUAGAGCGUUGGUCUCAUAGUCUCAUCUAUGAUCUAGAAGGUUCAACUUCAAGAGUUAUCCAAAGGUCCAGAGUUCGAGCCUCUGCGAGGACA